UAAAAGUAAAAAAUCUAUAAGAGAAUUGAUCAUAGGAUGUCCAAGAGAGGGGUCCCCUUUUUAUAGACUAGGAAUUAGGACUUUUCAAGAAAGGAUGCCAUGAAUCAAUACCAAAACCCCUUUUUGGCAUCCCCAAAAAUUCCAAAAAAAUUAUUAAGACAUGGAGAAGAAAUUUGGGGUCUCACAUGUUAAAUAAUUUCUCAUGAAAAAUAAGAAAAAAAUAAUAGGUCUCCAAUAAUAUACCAUAUAUAAAAAAUCUCUUUCUUAGUUUGCAUCUUAUCUCUAAUUCGGAUUGCAUUCGAAUUAGGCAAAAGAUAAUAUUAUGACUCAUCAGCUAUAGUCAACCACCCUUAUUGAAUUUUCUCUUAUGAUGCCAAAAAUCAUAACCCAAAUCCAAUUAGGCAUGAAGAAAUUGGCAUGGAUCUAGAUGUGGCACAAA
rnacentral:lncRNA from 1 species